rnacentral:rRNA from 1 species
GACGAACGCUGGCGGCGUGCCUAAUACAUGCAAGUCGAACGCAGGGGGGACGGGUGAGUAACACGUGGGUAACCGCCCAUCAGAGGGGAAAAGACUUGGAAACAGGUGCUAAACCGAGACGGAUGGAUGGACCGGCGGGGCAUUAGCUAGUUGGGGAGGUAACGGCUCACCAAGGCCAAGAUCCAUAGCCGGCCUGAGAGGGUGACCGGCCACACUGGGACUGAGACACGGCCCAGACUCCUACGGGAGGCAGCAGUAGGGAAUCUUGGGCAAUGGACGAAAGUCUGACCGAGCAACGCCGCGUGUGUGAAGAAGGUUUUCGGAUCGUAAAGCUCUGUUGUUAGGGAAGCGGUACCCACCCAGGAAGCCACGGCUAACUACGUGCCAGCAGCCGCGGUAAUUC